rnacentral:rRNA from 1 species
GACGAACGCUGGCGGCGUGCUUAACACAUGCAAGUCGAACGGAAAGGCCCUGCUUUUGUGGGGUGCUCGAGUGGCGAACGGGUGAGUAACACGUGAGUAACCUGCCCUUGACUUUGGUAUAACUUCAGGAAACUGGGGCUAAUACCGGAUCGGAGCUCCUGCUGCAUGGUGGGGGUUGGAUAUUUUCGGCGGUUGGGGAUGGACUCGCGGCUUAUCAGCUUGUUGGUGGGGUAGUGGCUUACCAAGGCUUUGACGGGUCGCCGGCCUGAGAGGGUGACCGGCGACAUUGGGACUGAGAUACGGCCCAGACUCCUACGGGAGGCAGCAGUGGGGAAUAUUGCACAAUGGGCGGAGGCCGGAUGCAGCAACGCCGCGGGCGGGAUGACGGCCUUCGGGUUGUAAACCGCUUUCGCCUGUGACGAAGCGUGAGUGACGGUAAUGGGUAAAGAAGCAACGGCUAACUACGUG